rnacentral:ncRNA from 2 species
AAGGGAAGGACGGACUCAGGUACCGGGUCGAACCGCUCGACCCGAUUUAAAAGGGAACUCCGUGCGAUUCGGAGACGGGCCCGCCGCUGUAACCGGGACGAACGUUGCACGACGUCACUGGCCUGAAUCGGCUGGGAAGGCGCAACCAGUAGGGUGAACCGGAAGUCAGAAGACCUGCCUGAUGCAAGCGAAAGCU